AAUCCCUAUAUAUUUGUCUUGUGGUUUGCUGCCAAUCUAGAUCGUUCUAAUCAUCAUUUCUUCCUCAUAUGAUUAGAUUUUUGUGCUUGGUGAAGCAGGUAGGGAGCAGAAAUGCAGAUAUGGGAGAAUGGGACUCGAUGCCGAUGUCAAGUUGCAGUAGUGCAAGCCAUACCCUGGAUUGGGCGUAGGUGUUUUGACACCAUGAGAUGGCAUUGCUUACUGAUGAGGCGAGCAACCAACUUGUUUGUGAGAUACAACAACACACCUUGGCUUGAUUGGAGCUCACCAGCAUGCAAAUGUGGUAUGAGGCAAAGCAAUAGCUCGUUUUAUCUAUGGCGACCUUGGCACUGAAUUAACAUGUGCCAAGUUCUGCUCUCUAAAUGGCUUCUUGCAUUUUGUUACCACUUUGAUGGACCUUUAUACACGUGGAAAAAAUAGGUGGUAUUCUAGAGAUAAUAUUUCGGUGUAUGAACUUUAUCCUUUUUUUAGGUAUUUCAGUUUGAUCAUAUACCGCAGGGCACUGAUAUUGUUGCAUACUCCCUCCGAUCUCUUUUAAUUGACUCGGAUUUAGUACAAUUUUGUACUAAAUUUGAGUCAAUUAAAAAGGGCCGGAGUGAGUACUUGUUAAUGUCGAUUUGUAUUAUUCAACAAGUAUGUGCUCCUGUUUAUUCUACUGCAUUCUUUAAUUUUCUUUAUGGCGACGGAGUUGGCGAUGGGGAGAAGAUGCACAAGGAGGAUGGCACGCAGGGGGUGUGCUCUUCCUGGCUGGGAGGAGAUGACGUGAUUGAUGUAUUCUGCUUUGGAUCUGCUUUGAAUUUGUAUAAUUGAUUCAAUGAAUUGUUCACAUAGGCUAAUGCGUUUUCUCUGGUUGUAGUGCAGGCUCAGUGUGAGAUUUGGACUGAGAUUGAGACUGAGAGGUGCUAUUUGCUUAGUUAUUGGAUGGAAACCUGAGGUCUUUGUGCACUUCAUUAUGGAUAAACCAAUUUGUUGUAUAUACAAUAUUUUUGGCUGGAUAUAUACGCAUAGGUCUGACUGCAAACAUGUUUCUUCCUACUGUUGGGAAGUCUGGGAAUGACCUGCUAUUGAAUUUUGUAGGGUGCCAAUUAGUAGUGAGUUAUAGAUUUGAAGUUGCUUUAACUGUUGUGAAGUUGUUUUUCAUCUCAUUACACUACCAAGCUAUUUCUUUGUUCUCUACACACCAGUAGCGUAGGGAAUAGGGACCACGCCAUACGACCUUUUCUUAGAAAUGGAAAAUAUGCAAGAAAAAAUAUUCUAUUUACUUGAAUGCAUUUCAAAAUUUCGAAUUGCUAUUUGCCAAUUUAUAAAGUUGGGUUCAUUAAAUAUUUAUGAAACAGUAUCGAACACAUUUGCAAGCUACCUACUUGGUUUCUUGUAUUUUGUCCAUUACACUUCCCAUACUAGAUUAGAUUUGGUAGGUUUUGAAAUCUUUGCAUUAAGAUUGUUAGCUCCUUGCAAUCUUAGAUGCUUCAUAUUCUGUUUGUUUCUUACUUUGACCAAUGCUUCCAAGAUAUAGAACAUAAAGAUUUAGGUAUGGUUUCUUUUCCCCAGUGUUUUAUUCAUUUUACAGUACAUUUUAUUCGUAUACAACAACUUGUCAGAAAGUUCUUGGAUCAGGAGGUGGUAGCAGUAUGGCAGUACACAUGUGAUGUAUUGCAUCCUGAACUAGCGAUUAAAUAGGUUUUCAGUUAGCAUGUCAACUCAAGUGUGUUGAUUGAUCAAACUAUGUGGUUUAUUCGUCCUUGUCCAUAGUAAACAAACAAAAAAGAGUUGCCAGUAUACACCUGUUAAAUGCAGUACUAUACUUUUUUGAAUGAAAUCUUGCAUUGUUACUUAAUCACAUAGUCAAUGGUAUUUAGUUUGUGUGGAAAAAUACCAGAGUUGAUAAAUGGAAUUUACUUAUAGUGAAGAAGUCAACAUAAUGAAAUGUUCAUAUGUCGCAGUCACAUCUUUCCAUCUGCAGUAAAACAUGACAUCGUGAUCCACUUCCUAAUAGAUUUUUACUUCGUGUAGGCUACUGUACUGGUUAACUCGAAGCUUUCCCUCAACAACCUGACAGGGAAUCAUGUUAUCGCGAAACUGAAGUGGAGCAUUUGCACAAGCCAGAGUAGUAGGAGACGAUGAGAAGAGGCUAAAGAGGCAAAAGCAGAGAAAAAAUCAGGACCUAUGGGGAGCUGGGAGGGGGAGGCACAACGCCGGUGGCUAUGUUUGUUUUGGUGUACAUUUCACUUAGGCACGCAACUGCUAAUGCCCCUUGGUAUGUCAUGAAGUAUGUCACAUCAACUAUGUAGUGUCACGUAUUAUAUCUUCUUCGUACCAACUUGCUGAUUAUGCUAUCAGUUAUUGUGUACUUGCACAUAAGCAGCACCGUGCAGUUAAUCUACAAUGUUUGCAUCACUUUCUCUAUAAUUUUUUGCUCUGAACACUAAAAUGAGUUUUCAGUGAAGAUGAUAGUGUUGGAAUUGGGGCGCACAGGACCGGCGAGGAGCUGCCCCAUGGGGCAGCCCAGCCAAUGGAACCUAUUUCUAGAUCUAAAUCCCUACUCUAUUCAUUAAUGCUGGAGUAAUUACUAAUUACGUGUAUCUUAGAAAAAAUAUUCCCGUGGAUAGGUUUCUUUGUUCAAGCUAAAAACGUAGUGGAGGCCUUGGGUGUAUAUACAUUAAUUUAUAUAAAUAUAGUUUAUGUUAGUGCAAAUUUCUGAUUUUUCAUUCAGAGUCAGAGUUUAAUUUUUGCUGUUCGGUACGGGUCACAUGAGUAUUCUGUGUUAGCACGGUUGAAAAUGGGAAAAACGUUGCUUCAAAGUAUUUCUAUUAUGGUUGCAUUACUUUGCGUCAUUGGUUCAUUGGUCAUGUCCUUAUUCACAUGUGUUUUUAGCAGAUAAAAUUCACACUCAUCUCUAAUAUCAGCAAGUAGGUGAUCUGGUUGUGCCCCUGGCCCGCUGCCGCUGACGGAAAUAUGAAGCUGUUGGCUAGGGACAAGAAGGUUGCAGUUCCACUGCAGCCAACUGCCCAGUAGGUGCUUCUGCCCUUUUAUUUUUUCUAUGAUUCCUUCAAUUCACAACCUAAAUGUGGUUGUUAAUAUUUUCUCAUCAAAUUCACAACCAGUUUUACUGGUCAAACUACUUAGUGGGUACAAGCAUGUCAUUCUGGACAUAAAUACUACUCUUGCACCCUCCUGAUGUUGGCUGGACAAAAACAAAUGGUGUUGGGGGCUUGGGGCUUUCAGUUCUGGGCCUUGGGAAGCGGCCUAUGGAUCCAUUGCUUGUGAUCACCAGGGCCAAUUCUACCCAAAUGCAGCUAAUGCCCUCUCUAUGGAGGCUCAUGCUAUUCGAGAUGGUGUGAUUCUUGCGACUUUGCGAGGGAUAUGAAGUUUCAGAAAGUAAUUAUUGAAACUGAUUCUCUGGUGCUCUCAAAGCUGCUGAACAAUGGUAACUUUAAGCAUUCGGAAAUUGAACCUAUUCUCUAUGAUGUAAUGGAGCUUAGCAAGGGUUUUUCUUGGUUCCCUAUUGUUUUUAUUUGAAGAGUAGGCAAUGUUGCCGCACAUCUCUGUGCUCAUACUAUGGUAAGGAAAGGAGAAGUACAUUUGGACUGAAUAUGCACCUGAUUUUAUCUGUAAUUGCCUUUCCGUUGAUUGUAACCCUGUUGCUAUGGAAUGAAAAGCUCCUUAAUCGCAAUUUUUUCGUGUAUAUUUGAAGUUUUUUUCACACACAUGCCAUCAACAUAUGCUCCUACAUGUGAUCCUCCUGUUAUAGAAAAGGUGGUUACUACAUCUGUAGCUUUGUGCUUAAUCAUUUAGGCCAGUGCCAUUUUCUUGUGGUUUUGCAUCUUUCUUCGCCCCCUUCUUAAAUUUCAUAGUGAUAAUAUCCAUUGCUCAUGUUAUGUCUAGCAGCAAGGCGUCGGUCUAGGCCUGCAACGGCGGUGACAGAAGGCAGGCUGUGAUUGAUCUUGAGAUUGUCUUGACCCCUGUGUCGUAGCGGCUGCUGAAUAGAAGAGCUCUAUCUUGAGAAUUCAAGGACCCCUGGGUUGAGGAGGACUCAGCCAGGGAAUGCAUUCGUUGCUGAAGCUAUAUUGCUGAAGAUGCCUACGGUUCAGCAGCUUAUGAUGAUUUACCUUCACCAGCUUAUGAUGUCUAUGGUUUACUGGAUUUGGUUCAGAUGGAAGAGAUCCAGGCUUAGGAAGGUUCCGAUUUACCUCAGGACAAGCAGGAGAUGAUGCGAGUGAAGACACUCCCAUGUUUCAGAUGAGUGGCUUCAUAUGUAUGUUACAUAUUGACUUCUCCAUCUCCUGCCAUGGAAACUGAUGGCUUCCGGAUAGAUCAGAAUAGACUUUAGGGAGGUUGGUGCAGUGUGUGACGGGAAGAAACAAGGUGAAGUUUCUCCCAAUCGUCUGGCGGUGAGGAGGACGCGAGUUGGAGGUGGAUUGAGCUCGAUGGCCAGGAGGGGCCAUCAACUGAUUGGGGAGUUUGGUGCAGCGUGUGAUGGCAGGAAACGAGGGCUCUAUGUAAAUCUGGAAUGAUGUUUGGUACAGGCCGGACAAUGGAGAAUCAUUGUUAAAGGUGAUAUUCCAGGCAUCAUCAUGGCCACAUCAAAGGUCCUAAGCUCUAGGUCCACAACUACUGCCUUCCCCAAGAAGGCCAUCUUUGAGGCCACAUCAGCAUGGUCACCGUCUACAAAGGACUCAUUUUUUGCCUCACAAUUUCAUUUCUACAGGCUUAGUAUGGGAGGAACCUGCGGUUAUGAUGUAUAAUAAUUCUGGUAUGCAAGUAUGAUAAAGACCACUUUUUGUGGCCUGCUCAUAUCUGUUCUUUGCUUCUUAGUUAUGAUCUUGGUGUAUUCAAAUUGAAGAAAAUAACACCACUUUAUAUGUACUUAUUGAAUGUCUUGAUGGCACAAAAAA